GAUCCAUGAUUCGGAACCAUAUAAGAGAACAGACAACACUAUGGCCCUGCGCAAGGAUGACACGCAAAUUCAUGAAGCGUUCCAUACUUUU
rnacentral:snRNA from 1 species